rnacentral:rRNA from 1 species
AUUGAACGCUGGCGGCAGGCCUAACACAUGCAAGUCGAACGGCAGCACAGUGCUUGCUUGUGGUUCCAGAGGGGGAGUGGUGAGUGGUGCAGGGGAAUAUCCGUGGCUGCGCUUUAGAACGGCCUGAAGAAGGGACUACUACGACAUUAUAGCAGACGCAGUAAGGGGGAGAGCUUGGGACCUUAGGAUCUUAUGCGAAUGAAUGCGGGACUAGCUAGUUGGUGGGUUAGAGGGCUACCAAGCCAACGAUCCGUAGCUGGUCUGAGAGGAUGAGCAGCCACACUGGAACUGAGACACGGUCCAGACUCCUACGGGAGGCAGCAGUGGGGAAUAUUGGACAAUGGGCGCAAGCCUGAUCCAGCCAUACCGCGUGUGUGAAGAAGGCCUUCGGGUUGUAAAGCCCUUUUGUUGGGAAAGAAAAGCAGCAGGUUAAUACCCCGCUGUUCUGACGGUACCGAAAGAAUAAGCACCGGCUAACUUCGUG